ACUCAAAGGAAUUGACGGGGCCCCGCACAAGCAGCGGAGCGUGUGGUUUAAUUCGAUGUUACACGAAGAACCUUACCAGGGUUUGACAUGCAAGUGGUAGGAAACUGAAAAGGGACCGACCCUUCGGGGAGCUUGCACAGGUGCUGCAUGGCUGUCGUCAGCUCGUGUCGUGAGAUGUUCGGUUAAGUCCGCUAACGAGCGCAACCCUCGCUGUGUGUUACAAGUGUCACACGGUACUGCCGGUCUUAAGCCGGAGGAAGGUGGGGAUGACGUCAAGUCAGCAUGGCCUUUAUAUCCUGGGCUACACACACGCUACAAUGGCCAACACAAUAGGUUGCUAAGUCGCGAGAUGGAGCCAAUCCAAUAAAGUUGGUCUCAGUUCAGAUUGUAGGCUGCAACUCGCCUGCAUGAAGAUGGAGUUGCUAGUAAACGCAGGUCAGCUAUACUGCGUUGAAUACGUUCCCGGGGCUUGUACACACCGCCCGU
rnacentral:rRNA from 1 species